AGCAGCCGCGGUAAUUCCAGCUCCAAUAGCGUAUAUUAAAGUUGUUGCAGUUAAAAAGCUCGUAGUUGAAUUUCGGGACCAUCAUGUCGGUCGUGCCUCGGUACGUACUGGCAUUGUUGGUUUCUCCCUUCUGACGAACCAUGAUGUCAUUUAUUUGGUGUUGUGGGGAAUCAGGACUGUUACUUUGAAAAAUUAGAGUGUUUAAAGCAGGCUCACGCUUGAAUACAUUAGCAUGGAAUAAUGAAAUAGGACGUUUGAUUCUAUUUUGUUGGUUUCUAGGAUCGACGUAAUGAUUAAUAGGGAUAGUUGGGGGCAUUAGUAUUCAAUUGUCAGAGGUGAAAUUCUUGGAUUUAUUGAAGACUAACUACUGCGAAAGCAUUUGCCAAGGAUGUUUUCAUUAAUCAAGAACGAAAGUUAGGGGAUCGAAGACGAUCAGAUACCGUCGUAGUCUUAACCAUAAACUAUGCCGACUAGGGAUCGGAUGAUGUUAAUUUUUAAUGACUCAUUCGGCGCCUUAAC
rnacentral:rRNA from 1 species